AAUUUUGGACAAUGGGGGAAAUCUUGAUCCAGCAAUGCGGCGUGCAGGAUGAACGCCUUCGGGUUGUAAAGUGCUUUUGUGCGGAAAGAAAAGUCUUGGUUUAAUACCAAAAAAUCAUGACGGUACCGUAAGAAUAAGCCCCGGCUAACUACGUGCCAGCAGCCGGGGUAAUAUGGGGGGGGCAAGUUUUUAUCGGAAUUUCUGGGCGUAAAGCGUGCGCAGGGGGUUUUGUAAGUCAGGGGUGAAAUCCCCGGGCUCAACCUGGGAAUUGCCUUUGAGACUGCAAGUCUGGAGUGCGGCAGAGGGGGAUGGAAUUCCGCGUGUAGCAGUGAAAUGCGUAGAUAUGGGGAGGAACCCCGAUGGCGAAGGCAAUCCCCUGGGCUUACACUGACGCUCAUGCGCGAAAGCGUGGGGAGCAAACAGGAUUAGAUACCCGGGUAGUCCACCCCCUAAACGAAGUCAACUGGUUGUGGGGAAUUUAUUUUCUCAGUAACGAAGCUAACGCGUGAAGUUUCCG
rnacentral:rRNA from 1 species